rnacentral:lncRNA from 1 species
AGAAACAUUUUCCAUUUUUAAUUUAAGUCUAUUGUACAUUGUAUUAUACAAGUAAGAGUAACACUUUUUUAAUAGUGUUCAUUACACCUAAUAAAAUGAGGUGCCGGGCCCUAACCUAUAAGUCCAUGCUCCCACUCAUACUACCCAUAUAUAUUGAAUUAUUUUAUCAUUCAAUAUAUAUCCAAUUUCCUCAUGUUAUAAGUUUUGGUGGAGAUCAUGCUUCAAAUGAUGUGAAAUUUGAUUAACUAAUUAAUCAACACGGAUUUGAAACUUACUUUGAAAGGUGAAAAACAUGAUCCUCGAGAUUUAUUCAUGGUUAUGAAAUAAAGCAUAAAACAUUAAAAGUUAUCUGCAAUGAAGUUUCAUUUUUUUUUUUUUGUUACAAGCCACGAAGUUUCCUAUGUCACUCAAAUUCAAUCACUGCUUUGGUGACUUUCCCUUCCUCUUUUCAAUAUAGAAGAACACACCUAGGGACACAACCGAGAAAGCACUGAAGACAACGGAGCAGAUAUCAAGUGUCGCGUGGCGGCCACUGAUUGCAUUGAUCUCAAACAAGUUGGUACUCUUACCCGCGUUCGUGGUUUGGCCAUAAGCCACUUCCUUAUCGUUGGAAUCAAAUGCAUAGGCGCGUACAAAGUACGUUGCCUGAGGAACGUCGCGCUGAAUCAACCACUCGAAGGUUUGGACCGUUUUGUUGGAAGCAUUGUAUGGCAUGGCUAACAUUUUGUGUUGGCAAGUUUUGUCCCUAGAGAGUUCAUCCUCUGUCUUUCUCCAAGCGCGGUCUUUUUGGCUUAUGGCCGCGUAGCACAACUUCAGCUUUAUGGUUUUGUAUGAAGAGUCUGUUCCAGCUGGGAAGGUCUUGUUUAGAGCCCAUGUCCCACUGAUUUUGUCUACUCCAGAUAACAGAACUGCAUAGAUAUUUCAUAGCAAAAUUGAGUUUAUAUUUAAGGAGUAUUUAACAUCAUGACUUAUAUAAAAUUAUAAUUAAAUACGCCAAUACAAAAGGUGCAAAAUCUUAUUGUUACAAUUACCUUGUCCAUGCUUAGGGGAAGCUGUGACAUCAAGGGUUCUUUUCAAGGAAGAAAAGAGAUCCUUUCCAUAACAAAGUUCAGAUAAACAGCAUAGAAGAAGUGAUGCUACCACAAGCUUGUGUGCUGCCAUAGUUACUUAUAAAGAAAAGUCAACUUGGUGAAAAGGAGUAGACUUGAGAGAAAAGCCAAAAUUGGAAUGAUAUUAUGAGAAGAAUCUGAAUGGAGAUGCACUCAUUCUAAAGCAUUAUAUAUAAGGCAAAAUCCAAAUAAAAUAGUAUAAAUCUAUAUAAGUCAAAAGGCCCAAAUGCCCAAAAUAUAGUCUAAAAAAUAAUGGACGGAAGAAGCAAGUUGUAGACAGUAUAGCCCUUGAACAUAUAGAAGGGUCAUCCUAUUCAAAUCCAACGCAAGCUUAUUGGACUGAUGGAUAUAGUUUAGUUUAAUUUAUGGAUUAGUACAGGUUAAUUUGGCAACUGUUUAUUUUAAUAUUCCUUUAAUUGUGACACUAAGGUCCGUAUGAUAAUUUUUUGUCGAGAAAGAAAAAUAAAGUUCCCCUAAAAAAAAGAAUAAAAUUAAAACUGUUAUUGUGUUUGUAUUUUCUUCUUCUGCUCAAUAGCUUGAAGUUUUUCUUUUUGAAAUGAAAGGUUCGGGUGAGAUGUUGUAUGUCCCCCAUGUUCUCUACAUGAUUAAGUUCAUUUUUUCAUUCUUCAAAAAAAUAUAUUCAUUUUUUCAUAUAAAGCAUUUUUUUUCAUGUUUAUCAAAGAGAGUCUACAGCAUUAUUUAUGAUAAGUUGAUACUAAAAUAUUAAAAAAAAAAAAAAAAAAAAAAAGGUCUCAUGCUCAUCACAGUUCAAGUAUAAAUGUCAAUAAUUUAAUGGGUUCUAAUUCCUUGAUUCCCAUUUGAUCUUAUAUUGUUAUCUUAGUUUUGUCCUCGUAUGUCCUGGAAAGGACAAGCAAGCAAACUGUGUUCUUAAAGUUUGGCUUUCCGUACUCCAUGUCUCAGAUCAACCUUUUUAUCCAAAAAAAAAAAUUUCUCCGAUCAACCUUUAUGUAAUGAAAAGCCACAUUUUCUCUAUGUAAUUUUGUUAUUAAAUCCGGUUAGGAUGGACUGUUGACUUAAGACCUUGCAGUAUAUUCUUAACAAGAUUUUAAAUUUGAUUCUCUUCAUGUCGAUUUUGAUGGACUAACAUAUGUUCUUAAAAAAAAUUACUUUUGUUAAUGUUUUUUUACAAAUUUAAAAUAACCUACUAUAAAUCAUGUUUUUUAGACAAUAUAACAGUGUUGUGAAUUGCCUUAUUUGCAUGUAUAUUAACAUAAAUAAUGUUGCUUGAGAGUGUUAAUAGAAAGAAAUAAUUUUAUAUUUAUAAAUUAUUUUCAUAGGCUCUCCAAGAUAACUUAUAAAAAUAAUGUAUAAUUUUUUACUUUAUUUUAUCUUUUGUCAUAGAAUGAAUGAAAUGCGUAAAUUAUUGUUGCUAUGUCCAUUGUCGAUGAGGUGUAAGAGGACAAACAUGUAUGAAAUUUUACGCCUCAUGGCGUUAGCUUCGCGUGUCAACACAUCAUGAAAAAUUUAGUCGAUAACGCGGACUUACGUGUAGAGGGCAAUUGGACGAAAUUAUGGCAUCUCAAAGUACCACUAAAAAAAUGAAGGUUUCCCUAUGGAAGGUGGCACGCGGUUACCUACCAACAGGAUACCGCCUUCAAACACAGAGUAUUCAGUGUAAUGAUCAUUGUGUGAUGCGGGAUAGGUUGUAUAAAAAUGAUUGACAUGUUUACUUUGGUUGCGACAAGUUAGAAGUCGUGUGGGAAGUGGCGCGGCUGUGUCAUAUCAUCAAAGAGAAUCUAGUAGUAGCAAAUGGAUUUGCAACUCUCUUCUUUCAACUAUUCGAACAACUUCCUCAUCAACAACUCCUUAUUUUUGUAAUGACUUUGUGAUGCAUAUGGAAAAGAAGAAAUGAGAAGCUUUCGAGUGAUAUAAAUACGAAUCCACGUAUGUUGGUGUACAUGGCACAUGAAUCUUUGAUGAAAUGGCAGCAAGCCCACGAACAUGCAUACAACAAGGAGGAAUGAUAAAGCAAUUCUAACAAAACAAUAAGUCAUAAUCAUGACAACUUGAGCUAAAUGGAGGUAGGAGAGGUCAAGUUCACAUCGAUGCAGCAAUCUUCAAGGAACAAGAGUGUUUAUGGAAUAUGCAUGUGCGUUAGAGGAAGUCUAGGAGAGUUCAUAAAGGCAAAAAUAACUUGGUUCUUUGGAUUACAGCAACCACACGAAGCGGAGGCAAGGGACUUAAAGGAAGCGAUAAAGUGACUUGACAAUAUAGGUCUAUCUAAAGUGUCUAUCGAACUUGAUUGCAAGCAAGUGGUUGACGGUAUAAUUAAGAGACUCAACACCAAUUCCAUGUUUGACGCUAUUAUUGAUAUUUGAACAACUUCACUUAAAACCUAUCAAAACUAGGAGACAAACAAAUAGUGUUGCUCAUUUGUUAACAAGGACGUCAUUAUCUUAUGCUAGUUUCCACAUUCAUGAUCAUAUUCUAUCUUGUACUGAGACUGUAAUUAUUGAUGAAAUGAGUUAAGUUUGCUUUCGUCAAAAAAAUAAUCUUUUAUUAUAGAAUUAAAUUGUAUAUUAUAUACGAUAAAUGUUUAUUUUUUUUUUUUGGCAAAAUAAAUGCUUAUGUUUAAAACGCUUAAUUGAAUUGUUUAUACAAGCACGACAUAUAUAAUUGAGUAAUUUUAUCUCAUAGUCGUUACAAAAAAAUAUUAGAAGUUUAUAUAACAUCACAAAUCUUAAUAAAUUUAAUAAUGUUAUAAUAUUAACAAAAAGAUGUAGGUUUCGUAUCCAACAAAAAAAAAGAUGUAUAUAGAAGAUAGAAGUAUAGAUAUAAUAAGAGAAAAAAAGAACAAGAGAAAACAUAUCAAGCAGGCUUGCCCGAGUGGUCUAAGGGGGUAGACUUAAGACCUACUGCACUGAGUGCGCGUGGGUUCAAACCCCACAGCCUGCAAAAUUCUUUUGCUUAUUUUUUUUUUUUUAAUUAUUUGUAUUUUUGCUCUAGAGCUUUUUUGGUCCUAUUUGACUCAUAAGAAAAAUGCAUCUCUAUGAUUACAAAGUAUAUGUUUGACACCAUUUCAACAUAUUUCGACUGACAAUAAAUAAUAUAUCAAAAUUUGUUCAAUUAGAAAGUUACAUCAUUAUCUCAACUGAACUAAAAUAUGGUUGCUUUCACACCAAUUACUACUACUGUCCCGAUUGCACAGGAUAUGAUAUUUUAGAAUCAAUUAAAUUUUUAUCAUUUUCUCAAGUUAUAAAUAGAUUUUUUAGAGGUAAUAAAUUAUUUUUGUAUACGUAUAAAAUAUAUAAUGACCUUAAAAUCAUUUGGAGUGCACGGCAUAUAUAUAUGUAAUUUGUUCAUAUAGAACUUGCUUUGGCACUUUGCUAUAAGCUUAAUUAAUUAUUUACAAAAAUUUCAUUCUGCAAAUGCUUAAUUUAUCAUCUCAGACAAUUAUUUCCCUACUAAGGAACCUUCAUUGAGCUUCAAAAUUUAGUGUUAGCUAACCCACGUCGAUUCAGUAAUGAAAAAAAAUACUAAUAAAUAUCUUUAGAACACUUGAUAAAAAGUUUAAAAUAAGACUUCCAUUGGCCUAUCCAACACUAAAGCUUAAAUAAAUUAAAGGAUCAAUUUUAUCUUUUUAUUAAAUACAAUCGCAUAGUUAGCAUUAAAAUUUGUCGGUUAUAUAAAUGUGAAUUAUCACGUUAACAGUACAAGUUUGCCACCAGCAAUUAAUAACAAAUAAGGAAUGUGGUUUUGUAAAUAUACAUUGUGACUGGUUGUUUUUUUAGGUUGGUCCCUCUGGUACACCUUGUACCGAGGGGUCUCCAACGUCGUAGCUAAUAUAUUUCAUUUUGAUUUUUUCUAAAAAAAAAAAAACAAAUAAGGAAUGUGAGUUCGCUAAUGAGAUUUCCAAGUCAAACUAAGGAGUACAGAUAAAUAUUUAAGAGGAAAUUGGCAUCCACAAAUAUAUAUUCAUAACAAACAAAUAUAUAUAUAUAUAUAUAUUUUUUUAUACCAAAAUAAGAAAUAACUAUUAUAAAUACCUAUACCUGUUAUGAAAUUAACAUAAACUAUAGCAAGAUAUUGCAAACUAUAGAAGAAUGGAGAUAAGAGAGAAAGGGAAAAUAUAGAAUAGAGAAUAAAAGAGUAUUGCAUUAUGCUCUUCAAAGAUUGUAAUUCUUGCAAUGUCACCUGACUCCUAUUUAUAUGACAUAAAUGAAGUUAAGAGCAAUACCAAUGAGUGAAAACCAUAUAGUCAUAGGACCUAUAGACUAUCCAUGAAAUAUGAAAAACUUAGGGAGCUGCACAUCCACCAAAUAUUCAUAACAUUAUUGAUAAUAUUAUUUAAUUAGGCCUGCAGCAUAUAUAAGGCAUAAUAAAGCAUUCAAAACAAUCUGCCAUGAAGUUUCCUAUGUCACUUAAUUCAAUCACUGCUUUGGUGACUUUCCCUUCCUUUUUUCAAUAUAGAAGAACACACCUAGGGACACAACCGAGAAGGCGCUGAAGACAACGGAGCAGAUAUCAAGAGUCGCGUGGCGGCCACUGAUUGCGUUGAUCUCAAACAAGUUGGUACUCUUACCCGCGUUCGUGGUUUGGCCAUAAGCCACUUCCUUAUCGUUGGAAUCAAAUGCAUAGGCGCGUACAAAGUACGUUGCCUGAGGAACGUCGCGCUGAAUCAACCACUCGAAGGUUUGGACCGUUUUGUUGGAAGCAUUGUAUGGCAUGGCUAACAUUUUGUGUUGGCAAGUUUUGUCCCUAGAGAGUUCAUCCUCGGUCUUUCUCCAAGCACGGUCUUUUUGGCUUAUGGGCGCGUAGCACAAUUUCAGCUUUAUGGUUUUGUAGGAUGAGUCUGUUCCAGCUGGGAAGGUCUUGUUUAGAGCCCAUGUUCCACUGAUUUUGUCAACUCCGGAUAACAGAACUGCAUAGGUAUUUCAUACCAAAAUUGAGUUUAAUCAGCUUGAAGGAGUAUUUAACAUCAUGUAAAAACAAGUAUGCAAUCACAAUAUAGGAUAAGACAUUCAUUUAUUAAGGUUUUUGAUGCGUAUUAACUUUGCAAAAAUUAAGGUUGCAUCAGUCAUAUUCCUUUGUGAUCAUUUGUAUUAUCAAAAAUUGCAACGCGACUGCAGUUUAAAAACCUUAUUAAAUAACACACUGGACUCUAUUAAACUUGGCCAAAUUUUCUUGAAAAAUGUUCAUAGUGGUAUAUGAGAUUAUUCAAAUUCAAGAAAAGAGGAAGGAACAUAAUCACAUACAAAUCAAAAUUAAAUCAAGUAUCUUUUUAAAGAAGAAAAAAAGUGACUUUGUCUUCAAAUUAAUUCAUCAAAAUUAAACAUGAUCUAUGUGAUUCAUCAUAUUCUAUUUUAACUAGCAUAAGUCAAUACAAGGUGCAAAUUCUUCUUGUUACUUAC